AAAACUUUCAACAACGGAUCUCUUGGUUCUGGCAUCGAUGAAGAACGCAGCGAAAUGCGAUAAGUAAUGUGAAUUGCAGAAUUCAGUGAAUCAUCGAAUCUUUGAACGCACAUUGCGCCCGCCAGUAUUC
rnacentral:rRNA from 1 species